rnacentral:rRNA from 1 species
UACGAGGGGGGCGAGCGUUGUUCGGAAUUAUUGGGCGUAAAGGGUGCGUAGGCGGUUCCGCAAGUCCUGUGUGAAAUCUUCGGGCUCAACUCGAAGUCUGCACGGGAAACUGCGGGGCUUGAGUGUGGGAGAGGUGAGUGGAAUUCCCGGUGUAGCGGUGAAAUGCGUAGAUAUUGGGAGGAACACCGGUGGCGAAGGCGACCGCCUGGACGAAGAUUGACGCUGAGGCGCGAGAGCGUGGGGAGCAAACAGG